GAUAAACGCUGGCGGCGUGCAUGAGACAUGCAAGUCGAACGAACGAGCUUGCUCGUUAGUGGCGGACGGCUGAGUAACGCGUAGGUGACCUGCCCCGAAGUGGGGGAUAACUGCCCGAAAGGGUGGCUAAUACCGCAUGUGGCGACACUUUCAUUGGUGUCAUCAAAGCCGCGAGGCGCUUCGGGAGGGGCCUGCGUCCGAUUAGCUCGUUGGUGGGGUAAUGGCUCACCAAGGCGACGAUCGGUAGGUGGUCUGAGAGGACGAUCACCCGGACUGGGACUGAGACACGGCCCAGACUCCGACGGGAGGCAGCAGUCGGGAAUUUUGCUCAAUGGGCGCAAGCCUGAAGCAGCAACGCCGCGUGCGGGAUGAAGGCCUUCGGGUUGUAAACUGCUUUUGUACGGAACGAAAAGCCCUGGGUUAAUACCCUGGGGUCAUGACGGUACCGUAAGAAUAAGCACCGGCUAA
rnacentral:rRNA from 1 species